GAAUCUUGCGCAAUGGGCGAAAGCCUGACGCAGCCAUGCCGCGUGAAUGAUGAAGGUCUUAGGAUUGUAAAAUUCUUUCACCGGGGACGAUAAUGACGGUACCCGGAGAAGAAGCCCCGGCUAACUUCGUGCCAGCAGCCGCGGUAAUACGAAGGGGGCUAGCGUUGCUCGGAAUUACUGGGCGUAAAGGGCGCGUAGGCGGACAGUUUAGUCAGAGGUGAAAGCCCAGGGCUCAACCUUGGAACUGCCUUUGAUACUGGCUGUCUUGAGUACGGGAGAGGUGUGUGGAACUCCGAGUGUAGAGGUGAAAUUCGUAGAUAUUCGGAAGAACACCAGUGGCGAAGGCGACACACUGGCCCGUUACUGACGCUGAGGCGCGAAAGCGUGGGGAGCAAACAGG
rnacentral:rRNA from 1 species